AUUGAACGCUGGCGGCAUGCUUUACACAUGCAAGUCGAACGGCAGCACGGGGGCAACCCUGGUGGCGAGUGGCGAACGGGUGAGUAAUGCAUCGGAACGUGCCCUGUCGUGGGGGAUAACACAUCGAAAGAUGUGCUAAUACCGCAUACGACCUGAGGGUGAAAGCGGGGGACCGUAAGGCCUCGCGCGAUAGGAGCGGCCGAUGUCUGAUUAGCUAGUUGGUGGGGUAAAGGCCUACCAAGGCGACGGUCAGUAGCUGGUCUGAGAGGACGACCAGCCACGCGGGGAGUGAGAGACGGCCAAGACUGCUACGGGGGGCAGCAGUGGGGAAUUUUGGACAAUGGGGGAGACCCUGAUCCAGCCAUGCCGCGUGCGGGAAGAAGGCCUUCGGGUUGUAAACCGCUUUUGGCAGGAACGAAACGGUGCGGGCGAAUACCCUGUGCUAAUGACGGUACCUGCAGAAUAAGCACCGGCUAACUACGUGCCAGCAGCCGCCGUAAGAC
rnacentral:rRNA from 1 species